ACCACUAAGUCGACUUCUUCAGUGUCAGAAUUGAACACUCAUAAUUCCUUAGCUGAAACCACUAAGUCGACUUCUUCAGUGUCAGAAUUGAACACUCAUAAUUCCUUCGCUAAAACCACUAAAGUCGACUUCUUCAGUGUCAGAAUUGAACACUCAUAAUUCCUUAGCUGAAACCACUAAGUCGACUUCUUCAGUGUCAGAAUUGAACACAUAAUUCCUUCGUCACACAGUUUCGGCAGUCUCUGUGUCAAUUUCUUGAGGCAAGUUAGCCCUUUAGCUUGAUCAUACUAUAAACCUUGCAACCUUUGCGCCACUUGUUCGAUGAUGAUAGUCAUCUGAGUUUUGACAUUUGGCCAGUCCCGAAGCUGUAGUAAUUCUACACUUGAUCAAACUUAAGAUUUAUCAGAUGAAAUGAUAUUGGCGGGCGGAACGGCGGUCGAGUGGUUAGCGCGCAGACCUCACAGCUAGGAGACCAGUGUUCAAUUCCACCCUCGGCCAUCUCUGUGUGGAGUUUGCAUGUUCUCCCCGUGCAUGCGUGGGUUUCCUCCCACAUUCCAAAAACAUGCUAGGUUAAUUGGCGACUCCAAAUUGUCCAUAGGUAUGAAUGUGAGUGUGAAUGGUUGUUUGUCUAUAUGUGCCCUGUGAUUGGCUGGCCACCAGUCCAGGAUGACAGCUGGGAUAGGCUCCAGCAACCCUCGUGAGGAAAAAGCGGUAGAAAAUGAAUGAAUGAAUGAUAUUGGUGUCCACUCAUUCAAUUCGCUACUUCCUGAAACUAAGCAUCAUGGGAAGUGUAGUUCUUUUAGCCAUAAAUUAGCAACAUGACAGUAAAAGCUGCACUGGAAAUAUGAGCGGAAUUAGACAAAAUAAUUUAUCUCAUGAAAAGACAAAAUAAAUACCUGAGCGGUGUAAAGUGUAAAGUACGGACCACAUCAGGCUGACUUUUAGAAACAAAUUUUAAUUUUAUCCAUUGAGAGAACAAGGUGAGAGAACAUGCUGAGGAGCGAUGGCUGUCUUGCAGCGUCCUCAUGGAGAUGAAAGUGUUUCAAAGUGGCGUACAGUCCUCUCUGUAUGUGUCAACAAACACGUCCUUCUCUUUUUUUUGUUGUUGUCGCUUUUCCCUUUUUUUUUCUCACACAGUCUUUUCAUCCGUCGCCUCAGCGGUUGUUGACGCCGCGUCCACCGGGGGUGUUUUGUCCACUCCCUGGCUGCAGCUCUCGUCACAUGACUGGACUUUAACUGCGGCGGCGUUGUGGGGAACGGUUUCGUCUAUGCUCUCGUACGGCUCGGAUGUCCACUGAUAAACAGAAAUGGAAAAAGGGUUACUUCAGCAACGGACAAUGCUAGCUUAUGAGUCUAUCUUAGCUUAGCAUGCUGCCUGUCUACUGAUGUAGUUUAGCUUGCUAGCCUCCACAAGAGAAAAGGGAGUAACGUGAAGAAUAGUGACAACCAUGUAUUUGAUUUAAUAUUCUAUAAAAAAAAAAAAUAAGUGUUAGCGGUGGUCAUACAACUGAAUACUCUGUCAAGGAAAUGCUAAUUUUGAGCUAACCUCCACUGAGCUUAGCUUAGCUUGCGGUGCCACAAGAAAAACACGCUAUUUGCCAACGAACGUACCUGAGUGGCCCUGCUGCCCGACCGGUGCGAGGGUCCCAAGGCGAUGUUGACGCUGGACGAGGACUGCGUGUCGGUGGUGUUGCCCCCUUCGGCGGCCGACAGCCCCGAGAUGACCAAACCGCUGGAGAAGCUCCGCUUGCCAAACAGCAGACUGAGUGUGGACGAGGAUGAGGACACCUGAGGACGCAUGCAGAAGGAACCAUAGGUGGGCGUUGUACCUGAACUGUGGUGUCGGUGGCUGCGGGUAGUCCGGGCUCUCUGCUGGUACACACUCAAACUGUUGGAGGUGACAGAUGACGGCCGGUUGUGGCUCAGAGACGAUGAACCGCCUGCGCCGCAGUCGGCGUCCUCCAUGUUGACGCCACUGUUGCAGCUGUUCAGGUUGUCCUUGCGCACCCUGUUACGUCAUGAUGGCAGCAUAUGUGACACAUAUUAAUGCAGUCUUCGGAAUUUGGCUGAAAGGUAUUUCCUCUUAAGGAGGAUGAAACGGGUAUUUAAUCUCGUUAUGGAACCCACACAAGCUGACCCACAGUGGUUAACUAAUGCAAGGUAGAUUGCAUUAGCUAAAAGUAAAGGAAAGGCUGACACGUGGAAGGAACUUUAAGCACACACACAAAACCCGUCUAGGUUGCACGGCG